rfam:Citrus clementina cultivar Clemenules unplaced genomic scaffold scaffold_9, whole genome shotgun sequence.
AUACAAUGAUGAGGACAUCUCUUAAGUAACUCUUUAAUCUUUCCCAUGCAUCAUAUAAACUCUCAUCUUCAAGUUAAUGGAAAAAUGUGAUCUCGUUCAUUAAUUU